GUGAGGAAUAUUGGUCAAUGGGCGGGAGCCUGAUCCAGCCAUGCCGCGUGCAGGAAGACGCAUCUAUGGUGUGUAAACUGCUUUUGUACGGGAAGAAACACUCCCUCGUGAGGGAGCUUGACGGUACCGUAAGAAUAAGGAUCGGCUAACUCCGUGCCAGCAGCCGCGGUAAUACGGAGGAUCCAAGCGUUAUCCGGAAUCAUUGGGUUUAAAGGGUCCGUAGGCGGUUUAAUAAGUCAGUGGUGAAAGCCCAUCGCUCAACGAUGGAACGGCCAUUGAUACUGUUAGACUUGAAUUACAAGGAAGUAACUAGAAUAUGUAGUGUAGCGGUGAAAUGCUUAGAUAUUACAUGGAAUACCAAUUGCGAAGGCAGGUUACUACUUGUGGAUUGACGCUGAUGGACGAAAGCGUGGGGAGCGAACAGGAUUAGAUACCCUAGUAGUCC
rnacentral:rRNA from 1 species